rnacentral:rRNA from 1 species
AACGAACGCUGGCGGCAUGCCUAACACAUGCAAGUCGAACGAUUGCCUCCGGGUGAUAGUGGCGCACGGGUGCGUAACGCGUGGAAAUCUGCUCUUAGGUUCGGUAUCACAGCUGGAAACGGCUUCUAAUACCGGACGAUAUCGCGAGGUCAAAGAUUUAUCGCCUGAGGAUGCGCCCGCGUUUGAUUAGGUAGUUGGUGGGGUAAAGGCCUACCAAGGCGACGAUCCAUAGCUGGUCUGAGAGGAUGAUCAGCCACACUGGGACUGAGACACGGCCCAGACUCCUACGGGAGGCAGCAGUGGGGAAUAUUGGACAAUGGGCGCAAGCCUGAUCCAGCCAUGCCGCGUGAGUGAUGAAGGCCUUAGGGUUGUAAAGCUCUUUUACCCGGGAAGAUAAUGACGGUACCGGAAGAAUAAGCCCCGGCUAACUCCGUG